UCUCCCCUCGCUCUCGAUACCGGCGUUCGACACAGUGGUGCGGGUAAUGUGGCCUAUAUCUCCUAGCGCGUUUUGUUUGGACAUGCGUGUGUUUUAAUGGUAAGUUGAGCAUCAAGUAAUUGCCUUUUUUAAGUGUUAGUUACUCUAAUUUGAUCGGUUUUGCACCAUUUAUAGUGAUACCUGAAGUCAACGGGUUAAUCACUGUGACUUAUGUUUGGUCGGACUGCCUACUCUCAGUACUACCAUCUCUCUAUCGCCGUAUGCCUGGGUCAGCUGUAUGUUGGUAUGGCAUUUGGCUGUAUGUUCUGGCUUGUUGUUAGCAUUUAUGCUUUGCUGCUAGCGCGGCCGGUAUUUUGAUUCAUCAUUAGUUUGAGACUGCCGGUUUUUAUCUUCGUAAUUUGGAGUGUUCCUGCUGGGCUUGUAAACUGACCAUCAGUACCCAGAAAUACGCUGCUGUCUUGUUCCCAUUUAAUUUACUUAUAUUUUGCGUUAUAUUAGUAAUUGCUUCCCAUGUUAGCUUUCCUUGAGCUCUUCACUGGAUGGUUCAGUCGGGUGCUUCUAGCAGUGGACUACAAGGACUUUUGCAGCUCCUGUAUACCUCCUGUUGAAGGCCUGGUGGUCCUAUUCGUCUGAUUGCUUGGUGGAUGGCUACUUUUCCUUUUUUUUUUUGUUAUUUUUGGAGUGUAUUGUCCCGUGUAUGUGGUUUUUGUUUUCUUUUUUUUGUAUACUCUUUUUGAUAUUUCUUCUGUUCUUUUGGAAUUAGUGGUUGUGUGCGUGUCCGGUUGAAGCUGACUGAGUCUAUCUAAUUGCAGGUGCUGUGUCCAACAAAGGCAGGGAGGCAGAUUCUUCACGUGUGUGUGUGGUGCUGGUGUUCACUGUGUGCUGUGUAAAGCCGAUCUUCCACCAUAACUUCACUGGGUAUUGAGUGAGUGUGAAUGUGUGCACUGAUAGCAUGUGGUAACUAGAUAUUGUGCUGCCUUAAGUUUAUACUAGUUGGCCACAGCCCUGUAACCUUAGGUGGAACAUGUACUGUGAAGAACUGCAGGUACUACUAUUUUAAGUUGCAUUUUGACUUGUCUCUUUUUAAAAGGUGAUUAUUGAAUAAUAAAGCAAUGCAUCUUUUGUACCUACGUCUCUUGCUCUAUUUCUUAGUAGAACCGAACCUGUGUUCCUUUGAGUAAUAUUCACUGGGACAUAGUAUUUCCCUGGGUGAAAGUCCUGGGGUGGCGUAGUCGUCUUGUUUAGUGUAAUAAUUUCUGUUGUCCUGUACCACUCCGCUACAUUCAGUUUUUUUAAUUUAUUACAGAACAACACAUCAUACCUUUUUAUCUCUUUAUAUAGUAGUUACAUUUAAUAAUAAUAGUAUCCAUUUAUAGUCACUUUUAUUGAUAAGAUGAUUGUUUGGAUUCCUUCCUGGAUUCCCAUUAUUUGUAGAUAGAAAAUAUAUUUUUGCA